rnacentral:misc_RNA from 1 species
CCGAGUUCAUGCCCUUCGGGGUAGACCUCCCACCCUGUGUUAUCAUUACCUCUGUUGCUUUGGCGGGCCGCUAGGCCUCGGCCUAGCUACCGGCUCCCGCUGGUAAGUGCCCGCCAGAGGACCCCAAACCCUGAAUAUUAGUGUCGUCCGAGUACUAUAUAAUAGUUA